UUUCCCAUAUAUUAGCUCCGUUCCUUUUCCCAUAUAUAAGCUCCAUUCCUUUUCCCAUAUAUUAGCUCCAUUCCUUUUCCCAUAUAUUAGCGCCGUUCCUUUUCCCAUAUAUUAGCUCCGUUCCUUUUCCCAUACAUUAGCUCCGUUCCUUUUCCCAUAUAUUAGCUCCAUUCCUUUUCCCAUAUAUUAGCUCCGUUUCUUUUCCCAUAUAUUAGCUUUAAAUUCAUCGGCAGACUCGUGAACAAUGGAGGGAAGAUAUUUGUGGAAAAAGGUGUAUAUGAAGUAUCCUCGCAAGGCUCCGAAGAUUCGGCGCCAUAUUUCCUUUACGAGAAGAGUGUCUCUAUUCUUGGGGCUGGGGCUGGUCAAUGUGUUCUAGUGUACAGAUGUAACCCAGACCUUUUUACUGAUCUAGAACUUUCCUCAAAAUUA